UACGUAGGGUGCGAGCGUUGUCCGGAAUUAUUGGGCGUAAAGAGCUCGUAGGCGGUGUGUCGCGUCGGCCCGUGAAAACCUGGGGCUCAACUCUGGGCGUGCGGUCGAUACGGGCAUCACUUGAGUUCGGCAGGGGAGACUGGAAUUCCUGGUGGAUAGCGGUGAAAUGCGCAGAGUAUCAGGAGGGAACACCGGUGGCGAAGGCGGGUCUCUGGGCCGAUAAUUGA
rnacentral:rRNA from 1 species